rnacentral:misc_RNA from 1 species
AGCUAGCGAUCACCGAUGAAUUACAAGCUCUGAGGGGAACGUCAAUGGUGUUUCCAGCAAUAAGCUUACUAUCAUUGGGAAUAUUAUUGAGCUUAAACAGCACAUCGCUCUUAGUUCCAAACUGCUUUGCAAUGCCUUCCAUGGUGCUCAUUGAUUCCACCACAUGUGCAUAAUGGACAACCCUCUGCUCUUCCACAUCAUCGCAACUACAGGGCAAUGGAAUCGUCAGCUUUUCUCCGACUUGAAUCAAAUCGGGAUCUGGAAUGUUAUUAACUUCUGCGAUUUGUGGGUGUGUGACCAAACCAGCGAACACGGUGUUUGCGAUAUAGUACAGCCCAUCGUCUUUUUGAACAGUGUACUUAGGAACAUGGUUUGAGAUACCAGACCCAUUAGAGCAAAUGCAAGGGAUUGGGAUUUUGACCACUUGUUCUACAUUUAUAGUGUAGUUUGAUAAGGUAGAAGGAGGAAGGUUGUUUGCACCUAGAAAAGAGUUCAGGUCAUGGACUUUAAAGAAAUUUUGGAGGUGGAGGAUGGUGGUUUUGUUGGGGGAUUUGUAGCCAACUAGAGAAGUGCAAGUGGUUCGAGUUUGAGUGCAUUUAAAUCCAACUUGGGCAUUUGAUAAUUUGGUGGCAAAAGCAUAAAAGAAGAGUAGAGAGACAAAUAUGUCAUGAGAAAAACCCAUAUUUCUUGUUUUUCUGGGUUUGGGACUUUAGGUUC